AGUCGAGCGUCUCCAGCUAUGGUGAGACGCGGCAGACGGCUCAGUAACACGUGGCUAACCUACCCUCAGGACAGGGACAAACCCGGGAAACUGGGGCUAAUACCCGAUAGGCGAGGGCGCCUGGAAUGGUUCUUCACCCAAAGGGCUUUGGAAGCAUGCUUUUCAAAGUCGCCUGGGGAUGGGGCCGCGUCCGAUCAGGUUGUUGGUGAGGUAACGGCUCACCAAGCCUAUAACCGGUACGGGCCGUGAGAGCGGUAGCCCGGAGAUGGGCACUGAGACAAGGGCCCAGGCCCUACGGGGCGCAGCAGUCGCGAAAACUCCGCAAUGCACGAAAGUGUGACGGGGCUACCCCGAGUGCCGUCCGCUGAGGAUGGCUUUUCCUUGGUGUAACUAGCCGGGGGAAUAAGGAGAGGGCAAGACUGGUGUCAGCCGCCGCGGUAAUACCAGCUCUCCGAGUGGUAGGGAUGAUUAUUGGGCUUAAAGCGUCCGUAGCCGGCUUAGCAAGUCUCCUGUUAAAUUCAGCGACCUAAUCGUUGAGCCGCGGGAGAUACUACUAGGCUAGGAGGCGGGAGAGGUCGACGGUACUUCCGGGGUAGGGGUGAAAUCCUAUAAUCCCGGGCGGACCACCAGUGGCGAAGGCUGUCGACUAGAACGCGCUCGACGGUGAGGGACGAAAGCUGGGGGAGCGAACCGGAUUAGAUACCCGGGUAGUCCCAGCCGUAAACGAU
rnacentral:rRNA from 1 species